GAAACGCGAUAGGUAAUGUGAAUUGCAGAAUUCCGUGAAUCAUCGAAUCUUUGAACGCACAUUGCGCCCUCUGGUAUUCCGGGGGGCAUGCCUGUCCGAGCGUCAUUGCAACCCUCAAGCACGGCUUGUGUGUUGGAUUCAGUCUUGUAACAGAGAUUAGUCCGAAAAGCAAUGGCGGCGUCGUGCUACGGUGCCCGAGCAUAUGGGGAUUAUCUUCUGAAGCUCUGUGGUCCGGCCGAUGUUUGCUCAGUCCAUCAAUCACUUCUAGUGUUUGACCUCGGAUCAGGUAGGGAUACCCGCUGAACUUAA
rnacentral:misc_RNA from 1 species